rnacentral:tRNA from 1 species
GGGGAUUUAGCUAAGUGGCAUAAGUGCCUGCCUGGCAAGCACGAGGUCCUGAGUUCAAUCUCGGGUACCACA